rnacentral:rRNA from 1 species
UACGUAGGAGGCAAGCGUUGUCCGGAAUUACUGGGCGUAAAGCGCGUGUAGGUGGUGGGACAAGUCUGCUGUGAAAGCGCCUGGCUUAACCGGGCGAGGUCGGCGGAGACUGUCCGACUCGAGGACGGUAGAGGGGGGUGGAAUUCCCGGUGUAGUGGUGAAAUGCGUAGAGAUCGGGAGGAACACCUGUGGCGAAGGCGGCCCCCUGGGCCGGCCCUGACACUGAGACGCGAAGGCGUGGGGAGCGAACAGG